ensembl:lncRNA
CACUUGAUGAAUGUAUUUUUAAUUUUAAUUUACAUGAAUUUAGACCAACUCUGCACUCCAACAUGAUGUCUUUAUUUUACACUGGUAAAAUAAAACACAGGCUGAAAGAACCAUUAAGAAACCUAUCUAUGCCUUUAUUGCCUCUAGAUUAGACUACUGUAACUCCCUCUAUUUUGGCCUCCAAUCUACCCUUCUCCGCAGGCUGCAGCUUGUUCAAAAUGUGGUGGCACGCCUCUUAACUGGAACUGGCAGGUUUGAUUCUAUCACCUCUGUCUUCGCUGACCUGCACUGGCUUCCCAUCAAAUACCCUUGUACACUCCUAGUAGAGCACUGAGAUCAACGGGCCAGUUGCUCUUAGUGCAACCUAGUGCACGGUUGAGGACCAGAGGGGAUCGUGAUUUUGCCAUAGCUGCACCCAAACUCUGGAAUAAUCUUCCUAUUGCUAUUCGUCAGCUGUUCAAGAGUCUAGUAGCAGUGGAGAAGAAAGAGUUGUUGAGUCGGGAUCUUCUAGAUUUCACACCGAGGGCAGAAGAGUGAACAGUCUAUGUUGGGGGUGUGUGGAGUCUUUGAGGAUGGAGGCAGCUCCUCUGGACUCUGCGAUGGUAGAUGCUCUGCAGAGAGGGCAGCGGGGUCCUGAUGAUCUUCUCCACAGUUCAAUUCAAUUCAAUUUUAUUUAUAUAGCGUUUAUGAAGUGGCUGUUUGGUCUCU